UUUUAGUGGAAUUUUUCUCAAUCUUUAUUAGAUAUUCAAGACAAGAUAAUUGCUUGAUUCAGAUAAGCAAGAAACAAGAGAGAAAACAUGCCGAACAGUACAAAUAUUUUUGUAAUAGAUAACACAUCCUGCAAAAAAGAUUUAAUAUGAAACAAACUCAAAUGCAAUCUUCAAACCAUGUUCUCUUCACAUUUCAUCCUGCAUCUCACAAAUCAAAAGGAAUAUUAAUAUUUAGUAGGGUAACUAGUAACCCGUAAAAAGCAGAAGUUUUCACUCAGAAGAACUAGAGAAGCACCUGUUUUUUGCAGACUUGGAUGAAACUGCUGAUCAAAGGAACUGAAGCCGGCAGCCAAAACCAGCAUCAGAAAACUAUUGAGACCCCCAAUUCAUUACACUCAUUUGAUUUCUUGUCCAUAAAGACAAGGAAAAUUAUGUGAGAUAAUUGAGUCCUUUUACCAUGCUACUCAUUCCUAAUAAGGUUUUCCAUCAGAAACUCCUGUCUCAAUUUUCUAAUGCCUUGAUCCUUGAGAGUCUUCCUCAUCAGGAUUUUGUUGCUGCUGCUGCUGUUGCUGUUGCUGAUUAAAGGAAUUUAGGCUGCUGCGGCUCUGUCCCAUCUGCUGGUAAAAUUGGCUCAAAGCCUGAGAAUUCAACAUCCCUGUUUGCCCAUCCUGAGAAAGCCCAAGCUCCAAACCUGGAACUUGCUGAUUAGUACCACUAAACAUGGAGUAAAAACUCAUCAAACCCAUAUUAAUAUUUGGGAAUUCAAUCCCAUGGAACCCAAACUUUGACAAAUUAUUGGAGUUUUCGUUUGCAAAAUUGGACGCUGACUGGCUGGUAUUUGAAAUAAAUCCUGCUCCAAUUCCACCAACAGAGGGCCAUAUCCCACUUGCUAAAUUAGAUCUUCCCAAAUUACCACUCAUCAUUGCCCAACUGGCCUUGUCUCUGGACCCAAUACUUGGUCCCAGCCCUUCCAUCUUUGUAUGCAAUCCUGUAGAAGCAGAGCUCCCCUGUUGAGAAACAGAGGCCCCUGCAGCUGCAAGAGCUGAAGCUGGAAUCGUCCCAGUACCAGUUGCAGCAAUAAUCGAUGGUUCAGCUUGCUGUAACAGCCACUGAAUUGUUUCACCAUCAGAUUUAUGACCCAAUUCU
rnacentral:misc_RNA from 1 species